rnacentral:rRNA from 1 species
ACUCCUACGGGAGGCAGCAGUAGGGAAUCUUCGGCAAUGGACGGAAGUCUGACCGAGCAACGCCGCGUGAGUGAAGAAGGUUUUCGGAUCGUAAAGCUCUGUUGUAAGAGAAGAACGAGUGUGAGAGUGGAAAGUUCACACUGUGACGGUAUCUUACCAGAAAGGGACGGCUAACUACGUGCCAGCAGCCGCGGUAAU